rnacentral:rRNA from 1 species
GUUGUUGGGUAGGGGAGCGUUCUGUAAGCCUGUGAAGGUGUGUCGUGAGGCAUGCUGGAGGUAUCAGAAGUGCGAAUGCUGACAUAAGUAACGAUAAAGCGGGUGAAAAGCCCGCUCGCCGGAAGACCAAGGGUUCCUGUCCAACGUUAAUCGGGGCAGGGUGAGUCGACCCCUAAGGCGAGGCCGAAAGGCGUAGUCGAUGGGAAACGGGUUAAUAUUCCCGUACUUGGUGUUACUGCGAAGGGGGGACGGAGAAGGCUAUGUUGGCCGGGCGACGGUUGUCCCGGUUUAAGCGUGUAGGUGUGUGUUCCAGGUAAAUCCGGUUCACUUUAACACUGAGGCGUGACGACGAGGCACUACGGUGCUGAAGCAACAAAUGCCCUGCUUCCAGGAAAAGCCUCUAAGCAUCAGGUAACAUCAAAUCGUACCCCAAACCGACACAGGUGGUCAGGUAGAGAAUACCAAGGCGCUUGAGAGAACUCGGGUGAAGGAACUAGGCAAAAUGGUGCCGUAACUUCGGGAGAAGGCACGCUGACAUGUAGGUGAAGUGAUUUACUCAUGGAGCUGAAGUCAGUCGAAGAUACCAGCUGGCUGCAACUGUUUAUUAAAAACACAGCACUGUGCAAACACGAAAGUGGACGUAUACGGUGUGACGCCUGCCCGGUGCCGGAAGGUUAAUUGAUGGGGUCAGCGCAAGCGAAGCUCCUGAUCGAAGCCCCGGUAAACGGCGGCCGUAACUAUAACGGUCCUAAGGUAGCGAAAUUCCUUGUCGGGUAAGUUCCGACCUGCACGAAUGGCGUAAUGAUGGCCAGGCUGUCUCCACCCGAGACUCAGUGAAAUUGAACUCGCUGUGAAGAUGCAGUGUACCCGCGGCAAGACGGAAAGACCCCGUGAACCUUUACUAUAGCUUGACACUGAACAUUGAGCCUUGAUGUGUAGGAUAGGUGGGAGGCUUUGAAGUGUGGACGCCAGUCUGCAUGGAGCCGACCUUGAAAUACCACCCUUUAAUGUUUGAUGUUCUAACGUGGACCCGUUAUCCGGGUUGCGGACAGUGUCUGGUGGGUAGUUUGACUGGGGCGGUCUCCUCCUAAAGAGUAACGGAGGAGCACGAAGGUUGGCUAAUCCUGGUCGGACAUCAGGAGGUUAGUGCAAUGGCAUAAGCCAGCUUGACUGCGAGCGUGACGGCGCGAGCAGGUGCGAAAGCAGGUCAUAGUGAUCCGGUGGUUCUGAAUGGAAGGGCCAUCGCUCAACGGAUAAAAGGUACUCCGGGGAUAACAGGCUGAUACCGCCCAAGAGUUCAUAUCGACGGCGGUGUUUGGCACCUCGAUGUCGGCUCAUCACAUCCUGGGGCUGAAGUAGGUCCCAAGGGUAUGGCUGUUCGCCAUUUAAAGUGGUACGCGAGCUGGGUUUAGAACGUCGUGAGACAGUUCGGUCCCUAUCUGCCGUGGGCGCUGGAGAACUGAGGGGGGCUGCUCCUAGUACGAGAGGACCGGAGUGGACGCAUCACUGGUGUUCGGGUUGUCAUGCCAAUGGCACUGCCCGGUAGCUAAAUGCGGAAGAGAUAAGUGCUGAAAGCAUCUAAGCACGAAACUUGCCCCGAGAUGAGUUCUCCCUGAGACUUAGAGUCUCCUGAAGGAACGUUGAAGACGACGACGUUGAUAGGCCGGGUGUGUAAGCGCAGCGAUGCGUUGAGCUAACCGGUACUAAUGAACCGUGAGGCUUAACCUUAC